rnacentral:misc_RNA from 1 species
AUCAGCCUGGCAAGACCAAAAUCAGAUAUAUGAGGCUCAAAAUCUGCAUCCAACAAGAUACAUUUAGAGCUUAUGUUUCGGUGGAUGAUACGGGGGUUACAGUUAUGAUGGAGCCACGCAAAUCCCCGUGCUGCCCUUAUCCCAAUCUUGAGCCUUAGAGGCCACUCCAUUGGCUUCUUACCUUCAUCUACAGUGUGUAGAUUAUCAUGCAGGGUGCCAUUUGGCAUAUACUUAUAAACCAAAAGUCUUUCCUUAUUAGCCAUGCAGAAACCUAAAAGGGGAACCAAGUUGGGAUGUUUCACGCUCCCCAGAGUAGACAUUUCAGACACAAAUUCUUUUUCAGAACGCUGUGAAUCCUGCAAUCUCUUAACCAUUAGAGAAGUGCCGUCCUCAAGCACGGCUUUAUACAUAGUCCCUGUUCUCCCGGACCCAAUGAUAUUAUCUUUGUUGAAGCUGUUAGUAGCCUUCAU